AAUGGUGUUUUAAUGGUUCUAGAGACAGAUCAGCAAGAUUUCUACAUUAUUAACAGGAAAAACACUCUUGAUUACCUGUAGUGUUUUCAAAAGGGUCUAGUUGAAAUGAUGCAGGUUUUUAAUGGUGUUUUAAUGGUUCUAGAGACAGAUUAGCAAGAUUUCUUAAUGAACUGGGUCCUAAUUGGCUUAGUGUGUGAUGCACAGUGUCUGAAAAUAAUUUGGUUGCCUUUCCUCGGUUUUAUUAAGCGAAAUAUUGAUACCUAACGCCCAACAUGUAGGUAUUAUUAACAUUAUAUUGAAAAUUAACACCACAGCCAGCGAACUUAGCUGUCAUAGGCUCCAGGAAUGCUUGAAAUGAAUGAAAUAAUAUAUAAGGAUAAUAAUAAUAAUAAGGAAAUAAUGUUUCAGCAUUUCGUAGUGAUAGAAAUGUGGAUAGCAAUAUUUUCUUAUCUUUUUUUGUCUUUUGAAUUCAGCGGCUGUUCAUAAAAGUAAAAAGAAAAGAAUCUUAAAAGAAAUCUGUUAAGCUACUAUAGAGGGUUACAAUCCGAUAUUAUAUAGUAUUUCAACCUUAAUCUUUCCUAGUACCGAUGCUCUUUUGUUUGUUGUUGUUGUGAGGGAGAGAACAUUUCUGUCGUCUAUACACAAAACUUUCCAUUUCACUUACAAGAUGGUGAAAAGAACGAACCUUGCUUAUUAUACACGGUUUUUAACGCUAUAACACUUCUUUACUUGGAUUUUACUCUCAAAAACUAUGACUGUGUUGGUGAUAGAACCCUGGCAGGAAGAGGUGACGUUGCCUUGGAUAUUCAGAGUGAGGGAGACUGGCAGAAGACACAAGGUUCGGAGGCCUCCAGAGAGCUGCCCAGAGUGAAGCUUGUGGUAUAGAGGAACAGCUGCUGAUCAUCAAGCUUACAGAAUGACUGGAGGAAAGUGGGAGGAGCCUGGAGGGAGUGGUGGAGGUACAGUACUUGGAGAAAAUCCCUUCACCAUGACGACUGGGUGUCUGCUGUACAGACCACCGACCAAUGAUACCAGGAUAUGUGACCACCACCACCACCCCCACCACCACCACCACCACCACCACCACCACCACCAUUGGAGAUGCCCCUCUAGUUGCACAUUACGGCCCUGUUGUGUACCCUGGUGGCCUUCAUAGUUGACCGCUGAGUGCAGCUGUCGGUGACUGCAGGAAUGGACCUCAGAUGGCGGACACAACAGCAUUACCAAGUCAAGAAGUUGUCCAGUAUUUUAUCUCUGCUCUCAAACAAGCAAUGACCAGUGGUGGUGGUGUUCAUGUCUGGCUUGUGUGUGUGUGUGUGUGUGUGUGUGUGUGUGUGUGUGUGUGUGUGUGUGUGUGUGUGUGUGUGUGUGUGUGUGUGUGUGUGUGUGUGUGUGUGUGUGUGAGUUUGUUCAUCCAUUAUGAUUUGAAGAGAUUGUGUUUGUAUUUUUAUUGUGGGACUCUGUGAUUAUACUUUGAAAUGAUACGGCCUUAAAAUUGACCUUUGACCCUGUGUGGUAGUGGAGUGAGGCUUGUGACAGUUAGGAAUUGGUUGUCAAAAAGUGACCACAUUGGUUUUUCCUCAGUUGCUUUAGCCAUGAAAGUUCUAUUCCUUGUGUUCUUUGUCAUGAUGAUGUUUGAUUCCCUUGGUUUCCAAUUGGUUGCCUUUGUGUGAGUUUUGAUCCAGUCAUUUACUUCCCUACUUACUGAAUUCCAGGAAACAAAGGGAUUGCUUGCUCCUUUUGCUUCCUUGUGGACAAAUUCACUGCUAAUAGUUUGUUAUUUGGAAGUUUGAUUGAAGGCUUGUUCCUCCCUCUCCUCCACCCUAUGACUACUUGAUGCUAUCUAGUCAAAUUCUUCACAAUGAUGUUUUCCAUGCCUUCGCUGCCCUAAACCCUUGGAAAGCUUGGAGGGGUCCCUCCUCUUGUUCUUCAAAACUGCAUUUCUGUGCUUGCACCUUGCCAAGUCAAACUCUUUCAACUCUGUGUGUCAACAUGUAAUAAUAUUACUUCUUGCUGGAAGUUUGCCUACAUUCAGCCUGUUCCUGAAAAGGGUGACCAUUCUAAUCCCUCAUACUACUGUCCUGUUGCUUUAAUUUUCUGCCUAUCUGAAGUUUUUGAAUUUAUCCUCAAAAGGAAGAUUCUUAAACAUCUAUCACUUGACAACUUUCUAUCUAAUUGCCAGUAUGUGUUCCAUAAUGGCCAGACAAAAGAAAACAUGUGUUCAGUGGCUUCAGCCACCACCAAUGGUCUCUCUUUUUAAGAUUUCCUGCUUAACUAAUGUUUAAGUAUCUCAUUACAAAGAUAAGAAUAUAGAUAUCAUAAAGAUGGUUAUUUAUAUUGAUUAGCAUAUUAGCAUUAUGAAUGUUCCUGUUCAUAUGAUUAUAACUAUCAGCAGAAAAAAUUGUAUAACAUGUGUCAUUCAUUUACUUGAAGCUGCAUUGUCAAGGAAGCUUGAUACACUUUUCAGUGAUGUGUUUAUGUGCUAACAUAUGUGUGCUUGGAGCAUAAAAGAUAGUCUACACUAUAUUUUGACAAAUAAACAGUUGGUAUGAAAAAAUUACUUUUACCUACAGCACUUACUUAAUUUGCAUUUGGGCACCAUCUCUUUGAAAAUAGUCCAUUUGAGCAGCAAUACAGCAGCACAUUCAGCACUGUUGUCACCCCUGAAACUUAUUCUGGAAGUGUUGUUCUCUAAGCAUGUCAAGCAUCUACUGUUUGUGCAGAAUCAUCUCCACAAUGGACAGAAGAAGCAUCAGGCCAAAGUCUGUCAGGAAUUCUGUCAGCCAGCCAUGAAUGACCCAACCUUCAUGUCAAAGGACAUCUCUGGGAACAAAAUUUGGGUUUACAGGUAUAACCCCCUAACCCAAACAAGUCUUUACAAUAGAAGAGUCCAGCAUCUCCAUGCAGGGCAUGGUUCAGGUCUGGAAAACCACUAAGAGCAUUUUUAUUCAAUGUCUUUGAGAUUCAUAGGAUAGUUCAUCAUGAAUUCAUCCCCCAAAAAAGAUCAUCAACUGCCAGUUCUACUCAAGUGUUUUGAGGCAUCUGAGGACAUUAAUUUUGGCAGAUAUGGCUUGAAAUGUGGUGCAAGGCUAAAUGGAUGCUCCAUGAUGAUGAUGAUGAUGAUGAUGAUGAUGCACCCUCUCUUACAUAUUAUCUCUUAUAAUGCAUGGGCUUCUCAGAUGCAUGAUUAUCCCUUUGCAGCUGCCCUACUCAUCAGAUUUGGUACCAACCCUUGUGACUUGUGUCAUGCUCCCCACAUGGACAUUCAUUCUAUGGAAACAAUGAGAAAUUGAUCUCAAGAUGAGAUAAGUCUUUAGCCAUGACAAGUUGUAGCCAGCCAGGGAUUGAACCUCUCACUGAGAGAACACAAGGAUGACACCUUAGACAUUGAGACCAUGAUGACUGUCAGGUCCCAAGUUCAGUUUUAGGACAUUUAUACUCCUAAUCUCUGCACUUUUUUUUUCCUGGAAAUAAUAAAGAUGCAGCUGAA